UACGUAGGGCGCAAGCGUUGUCCGGAAUUAUUGGGCGUAAAGAGCUCGUAGGCGGUCUGUCGCGUCUGCUGUGAAAACUCAGGGCUUAACCCUGAGCUUGCAGUGGGUACGGGCAGACUAGAGUGCGGUAGGGGAGACUGGAAUUCCUGGUGUAGCGGUGAAAUGCGCAGAUAUCAGGAGGAACACCGGUGGCGAAGGCGGGUCUCUGGGCCGUAACUGACGCUGAGGAGCGAAAGCGUGGGGAGCGAACAGG
rnacentral:rRNA from 1 species